rnacentral:rRNA from 1 species
GACGAACGCUGGCGGCGCGCCUAACACAUGCAAGUCGAACGAGAGAGAAGGAGCUUGCUUCUUCGAUCGAGUGGCGAACGGGUGAGUAACGCGUGAGGAACCUGCCUCAAAGAGGGGGACAACAGUUGGAAACGACUGCUAAUACCGCAUAAGCCCACGGGUCGGCAUCGACCAGAGGGAAAAGGAGCAAUCCGCUUUGAGAUGGCCUCGCGUCCGAUUAGCUAGUUGGUGAGGUAACGGCCCACCAAGGCGACGAUCGGUAGCCGGACUGAGAGGUUGAACGGCCACAUUGGGACUGAGACACGGCCCAGACUCCUACGGGAGGCAGCAGUGGGGAAUAUUGCACAAUGGGGGAAACCCUGAUGCAGCGACGCCGCGUGGAGGAAGAAGGUCUUCGGAUUGUAAACUCCUGUUGUUGAGGAAGA